rnacentral:rRNA from 1 species
ACCUCGGAUCAGGUAGGGAUACCCGCUGAACUUAAGCAUAUCAAUAAGCGGAGGAAAAGAAACCAACAGGGAUUGCCUCAGUAACGGCGAGUGAAGCGGCAACAGCUCAAAUUUGAAAUCUGGCUCUUUCAGGGUCCGAGUUGUAAUUUGUAGAAGAUGCUUUGGGUGUGGCUCCGGUCUAAGUUCCUUGGAACAGGACGUCAUAGAGGGUGAGAAUCCCGUACGUGACUGGGUGCCUUCGCUCGUGUAAAGCUCUUUCGACGAGUCGAGUUGUUUGGGAAUGCAGCUCAAAAUGGGUGGUAAAUUUCAUCUAAAGCUAAAUAUUGGCCAGAGACCGAUAGCGCACAAGUAGAGUGAUCGAAAGAUGAAAAGCACUUUGGAAAGAGAGUUAAACAGUACGUGAAAUUGUUGAAAGGGAAGCGCUUGCAACCAGACUUGCGCGCUGUUGAUCAUCCGAGCUUUUGCCCGGUGCACUCGGCAGCGCUCAGGCCAGCAUCGGUUUUGGUGGGCGGAUAAAGGCCUUGGGAAUGUAGCUCUCUUCGGGGAGUGUUAUAGCCCUCGGUGCAAUGCGCCCUACCGGGAC